rnacentral:rRNA from 1 species
UACGUAGGCAGCAAGCGUUGUUCGGAAUUACUGGGCGUAAAGAGUGUGUAGGCGGUGCUCUAAGUUCGGUGUGAAAUCUCCCGGCUCAACUGGGAGGGUGCGCCGGAAACUGGAAUGCUUGAGCGUGGGAGAGGAAAGCGGAAUUCCUGGUGUAGCGGUGAAACGCGUAGAUAUCAGGAGGAAUACUAUGGCGAAAGCAGGUAUCCUGGGCCAUCACUGACGCUGAGCUGACGAAAGGCUAGGGGGAGCAAACAGG